UCGAUUUUAAGUGUUCUCGCUGCUACGACCGCGCACACACGCGCACACACACAAGGUAACUAUGUAAGGUGAUGGAUAAGUUCAUUGGCUGCAUAGUGGUGAAUUAUUUAACAAGGUAUCGAAAUAUGAAGCUCUGCACCUUACACACAUAGAGGCUUUGUCGAUUACACCCCACUAAAGCUAGAACAACAACAACAGCAGCAACAACAAAAUAACAAAAUAGCACCCCACCCGUGUUCAGUGCCCUUUGCCCUUAAAGCAGAUGCAGAUGUGACCUGAGUCAGUGCAGGGUGGUUUUAAGACACCCUGUCCCCCCGGCCCCUAAGACACCCUGUCCCCCCGGCCCCGUAGCUGUGGGGAAGUCCGAGCACAGAGCAGACAAGGCGAGGGAACUCUGUUAUUUUAAGACUUUGGUCUGCAAGAGCAGAAGAGACAAAGACGGCUGAGACCUCUUGCCGGAGACAGCAAGCCGGUGGCAGCCAUCCAGCCCGGGGUGCGGGGAGAUGUGAGCCACUGUGAUCGUUCUUCAACAUGACCCGUGUCUUCUGAUUUAUGACCAUCAGGGGAGAGGACGCAUUGUUGACCAGAGACAACUUUCUGAAAACUUCUUGACGCUGGAUCCUUAGCAUUUGGCAGAAUUUCUCCCACCCCCGUUCUGAGAAGGUAGCUGGGCUUUUGCGUUUGUCUCCGAGGGUGUUUAUGAUCUAGGACCGAGCACGCACUUUGGACAGGCUACCCCACUCCUUCCUUCUCUGGCGUUUUUGACUUUUGGAUUUCUGGGAAGCCUAAACUCAGUGAGGGGAUACGCUUGACAGGGGAGUUUGACAGAGACCAGGAGGUGCCUACCGAAGCAGAGAGUAUGGGGGAGGUACGCAGAUUCCCCGAGCUUAGGAAAGGUGGCUUUGGGGUCGUGUGUCCGGCCUGUUUCCUGGGGGUGACCCGGUGUGGCGGAAAAUGGCUGCAUAGCGUGCCUAGGAAGGUGCAUUUCAGGUACCAGAAACCCCCCUAGUUCUAUACUUGCACUUGAGAUCAUUCCAGACCCCACAGUUUCCCACCUGGACGAGGCUAGGUGAUGGGACGUGGAUUAGGGGGUCCUCCUCAAGCGUUCUAUCACCGGAAAACCUUCAGGCCAUCCCCCCAACACUGAGGGGGUUUGGGGAAAGGAGAUCCUGUGAUGGCUUAGAUUCAAUUCCCAACCAACCCAAUAGGAGUUUCAUUUCAUUUGACUUUCUUCCAAGAAAAGUUUCAUUUUUUUUUUUUUUUUUUUUUU